CCGGCGCACGGGUGAGUAACACGUAUGGAACCUGCCCUAUGCAGGGGGAUAAGCGGAAGAAAUUCCGUCUAAUACCGCAUAACACCAUUUGGAGACAUCUCCAGGGGGUCAAAGGAGGCGACUCCGGCAUAGGAUGGCCAUGCGUCGCAUUAGCUAGUCGGCGGGGUAACGGCCCACCGAGGCGACGAUGCGUAGGGGUUCUGAGAGGAAGGUCCCCCACACUGGUACUGAGACACGGACCAGACUCCUACGGGAGGCAGCAG
rnacentral:rRNA from 1 species